UACAGAGGGUGCAAGCGUUAAUCGGAAUUACUGGGCGUAAAGCGUGCGUAGACGGUUACAUAAGUCGGGUGUGAAAGCCCCGGGCUCAACCUGGGAAUUGCAUUCGAGACUGCAUAGCUAGGGUGCGGAAGAGGGAAGCGGAAUUUCCGGUGUAGCGGUGAAAUGCGUAGAUAUCGGAAGGAACACCAGUGGCGAAAGCGGCUUCCUGGUCCAGCACCGACGUUCAGGCACGAAAGCGUGGGGAG
rnacentral:rRNA from 1 species